UACGAGUGCUCCAAGCGUUAUCCGGAAUUAUUGGGCGUAAAGGGCGUGUAGGCGGUUUGCUAAGUCAUGUGUGAAAUCCCCCGGCUUAACCGAGGAACGACGCAUGAUACUGGCAAGCUAGAGUACCAAAGAGGGGGGUGGAAUUCCCGGUGUAGCGGUGAAAUGCGUAGAUAUCUGGAGGAAUACCGGUGGCGAAGGCGGCAUCCUGGACCGGCAUUGACGCUGAGGAGCGAAAGCCAGGGGAGCAAACGGG
rnacentral:rRNA from 1 species